UACAGAGGGGGCAAGCGUUGUUCGGAAUUACUGGGCGUAAAGGGCGCGUAGGCGGCCUUCUAAGUCGAACGUGAAAUCCCCGGGCUCAACCCGGGAACUGCGUCCGAGACUGGUGGUCUUGAGUUCGAGAGAGGUGAGUGGAAUUCCGAGUGUAGAGGUGAAAUUCGUAGAUAUUCGGAGGAACACCAGUGGCGAAGGCGGCUCACUGGCCCGGUACUGACGCUGAGGUGCGAAAGCGUGGGGGAGCAAACAGG
rnacentral:rRNA from 1 species